rnacentral:rRNA from 1 species
AGAGUUUGAUCCUGGCUCAGGACGAACGCUGGCGGCGUGCCUAACACAUGCAAGUCGAACGGAGUUAAGCCCUUCGGGACUUAACUUAGUGGCGAACGGGUGAGUAACGCGUGAGAAACCUGCCUUUCAGUGGGGGACAACAGUUGGAAACGACUGCUAAUACCGCAUGACACUUCUUGAGGGCAUCCUUGAGAAGUCAAAGCUUUAUGUGCUGAAAGAUGGUCUCGCGUCUGAUUAGCUAGUUGGUGGGGUAACGGCCCACCAAGGCGACGAUCAGUAGCCGGUCUGAGAGGAUGAACGGCCACAUUGGGACUGAGAUACGGCCCAGACUCCUACGGGAGGCAGCAGUGGGGAAUAUUGGGCAAUGGGGGAAACCCUGACCCAGCAACGCCGCGUGAAGGAAGAAGGCCUUCGGGUUGUAAACUUCUUUUACCAGGGACGAAGAAAGUGACGGUACCUGGAGAAAAAGCAACGGCUAACUACGUGCCAGCAGCCGCGGUAAUACGUAGGUUGCAAGCGUUGUCCGGAUUUACUGGGUGUAAAGGGCGUGUAGGCGGAGCUGCAAGUCAGAUGUGAAAUCCCGGGGCUCAACCCCGGAACUGCAUUUGAAACUGUAGCCCUUGAGUAUCGGGGAGGCAAGCGGAAUUCCUAGUGUAGCGGUGAAAUGCGUAGAUAUUAGGAGGAACACCAGUGGCGAAGGCGGCUUGCUGCACGACAACUGACGCUGAGGCGCCAAAGCGUGGGGAGCAAACAGGAUUAGAUACACUGGUAGUCCACGGGGAGAACGAUGGAAAGUAGUGAUGGGAGGGAGAACCCGUUCCGGACCGCAGUUAACACAAUAAGUAUUCCACCUGGGGAGUACGGCAGCAAGGUUGAAACUCAAAGGAAUUGACGGGGGCCCGCACAAGCAGUGGAUUAUGUGUUUUAAUUGGACGCAACGCGAAGAACGUUACCAGGAUUUGACAUCCAACUAACGAAGCAGAGAUGCAUUAGGUGCCCUUCGGGGAAAGUUGAGACAGGUGGUGCAUGGUUGUCGUCAGCUCGUGUCGUGAGAUGAUGGGUUAAGUCCCGCAACGAGCGCAACCCCUAUUGUUAGUUGCUACGAAAGAGCACUUUAGCGAGACUGCCGUUGACAAAACGGAGGAAGGCGGGGACGACGUCAAAUCAUCAUGCCCCUUAUGUCGUGGGCUACACACGUAAUACAAUGGCCGUCAACAGAGGGAAGCGAAGCAGUGAGGUGGAGCAAAUCCCCAAAAACGGUAUCAGUUCGGAUUGCAGGCUGCAAAUCGCCUGCAUGAAGCUGGAAUUGCUAGUAAUCGCGGAUCAGCAUGCCGCGGUGAAUACGUUCACCGGGCAAAGUACACGCCGCCCGUC